UGACUGGAUUCAGACGUGUGUUCUUCCGUCAAUCAUUAUGUUAAGCCCGCCUAACGUCUCUAUACACAAUGUGAUUGGCCCUAUCGAAGUUUAAUUUUUCCAGCUCGCAAGCCAACGGAGAGUUGGUAGACUAGCCCGGGUCCCUAGGGUGCAUCUAGAUUUCUAGGCUAGGACUUUGUGUGAACUGGGAAUCAAGCCUUUGAAUUCACUGGUACUGAAUAUCUCAUGUAAAACAUUCAGCAGAACAACAACACAUUCCACACUGUGAUUCCAAAACCUCUAGAAUACUAACGUUACUGCGUUUAGAAUAAUAUCCUUAUCUGAGCCGCCAAGCCACUGUCUGUGCCUUUGCAUUUCUGAAAUGGUGUGUGUAUAUGGGGUGGGGGUAUGGUGUGUGUAAUGGUGUGUGAGUGUGUGUGUGUGUGAGGAGGUUGUGGUGUAAUGGUAUGUGUAGAUACUAAGAGGUUUCUUUUGUGUUGCAUUUAAAAAUGUCUGAAUAAAAUAAAUAUUAACUUUA